CUAAAUAAGAAUAAUACUAACUAAGAAUUCAGAAGUAAGACAAUUCAUGCUAAAUGUUACAUGUUUGGUAUGUUAUCCAAUUCCCUUUUUCCGGUAAUCCUAAACACCUCCUCCCUAUCCACAACCUCUCCCUAACCCACUCUCCCCCUCCCCUUAGGCUGUCUCGGGGUGCCUGUGUUUUAUACAAUCAGGAGCCUGUGCCAGCCAAGGGUGGAGGGGUCACAACAUUUGGCUUCCCUGGCUAGCUAGGAAGGAGUUGUGUAUACUCCAGGGGUGGGACACCAGUGGCCAACUUUUUAUAGCAGAACUGGCGCUGCGGGAUGAACUGAAUGCCAGGUGAAGGUGCCCAAUGCCAAUGCUCAUCAGACCCUGGUUGAUAUAGACAGCAGGAUGGUGGCGAUGGAAGUUGGAAUCCACUAAGGAGCCCCGGGGAGGGUUCUCUUUUCUUUGUGAAGGGCAGAGCACCCUGGAAUGGGUUCGCCCCGAGAGAGGGGCCCGAGCAUUGGAAAGCAUUGCGGUUCUGGCAGCGUGCAGUGAGCUCUUGCUGGUUCUUGAAAAUCCGGGGGAGAUUGUGUAAAUCUCGCACUGGGCCGUACCCAUAUCCGCAGCAGGUCCCCAAGGUGAGCAGCCUCUGCAUGUUGGAACAAUGUAGGUAAGGGAAGUCGGCAAGUCAGAUCUGUAACUUCGGAUAAGAAUUGGCUCUAAGGGCUGGGGCGCAAAGGGCGAGCAGGCACCACGGCCGGACAUGGCAUCCCAUCCCCCCUUGGGGCAGUGUCGACUCUGGAUGCGAGCCAGGCCCUGCCUGUGGAUCGCCCCCAGCUGGUGGUUGCCUCUCUCCGUUCCCCUCCCAGGGUUCGGGCCAACGUUCUGCCUCGGCCGAUGCCCAGCAGCUGACUUAGAACUGGCGCAGACCAGGGAAUCCGACUGUUUAAUUAAAACAAAGCAUUGCGAAGGCCUGAUGUGGGUGUUGACGCAAUGUGUUUGUCAUGAGCCGAGGGCAUCAUUGGUCUAUAUGGCAGCGCUGGAGACGGGUGUCGGUAUUAGCCCGGUGUUCUCCCAAGAUGGCGCCUUGGAGUGUGAAGCCCACUCUAGCUUCUCGUUUGCAUGGUGUUUUGGGCCCCGCCCCUUGGAACUGCCGGGACUCUGAGCCGCAUCCUGCAGAUCGAAGUAUAGCUUCUUCGCAAAGCAAGCGCAUCGUAAGUUUGCAACUCUUGCUUCCUCUCAUACUGUCCUCCUUGUAACGUUAAGCUUUAUUACAAAUCGCGUUAACACAGCCACUCCGACUGCUUUCCCAUCAACGCUGCUCGUCUGACAGCAUUUCCGGAUAGGUAGUCCACGCACUCGUUACCUAAGUAACCAUUAGAUAUGAACACGCCAUAACACCUCCCUCUGUUUCUUCCGUUCGGCAGAAAGUUAUCCGCAUCCGUUCAGCGUGGAUUCAUAUAAGCCCAGCCUAUUGAGUAUCGUGGUCCAGGUAACAGAUGUCUACAUAGUCUACCUACAAAGAUCUAUUUUACGAAGUAGAAGCCUCAAAUCUAUAUGUAAACUGUCCAGCCCCUUACAGACUGAGAACACCAUUUAACUAUAAACUCACACUACUGUCUCCUAUUCCCACUUUCUUGGACUCCUAGAACUUCUGCAAGCCUAACCACUUCCAGCACUCUGUCCAGGACAAUCCCAAGGACUACUGGGUAGGUGGUAGUGCUUUAUCCUCUUAGGGGAGGAGGUUGUUUCCGGUUUAACCCAGCAUCCUGGACUUGCAGUAACCUGGAGCUUAGCUGGCUACUUCCCUCCUGCAUACAUUUAAGUGGUACAUCACAAGCCUCAUCUGAUCUUGACGUGGUGGGCAUCCAGUAGUCAACGACAAGGCGUUGCAGGGUUUUAUUCCCCAGAGGGUUUCCCUGGGAACCCUACCCCCUUCCUUGCUAACCUUAGCGGGACGGUGCAGGGCAACCAGGAGGAUUCUAUAGUCUUCGUGGGCUGCAUCUGUUCAGGUUAGUGCGGAGUCCUUUGCUGUUCUCCGUGAGCACGGUCCGGUCAGCGAUUUCUGCCCAGUGCUCCGAAUGUCAAAGUGAAGAAAUUCAAUGAAGCACGGGUUAACAGCGGGAGUAGCUAUGACUCUCUCAAGGUAGCCAACUGCCUCGUCAUCCAAUUAGUGACAUGCAUGAAUGGAUGAACGAUAUUCCCACUAUCAGUACCUACUUUCUGGCGAAACCACAACCAAGGGAACGGGCUAGGCAGAAUCAGCGGGGAAAAAAAGACAGUUGCACUUGCCUCUAGUCUGGCACUGUGAAGAGACAUGAAAGGUGUAGGAAAAGUGGGAGGCCCUCUGGUCGCCAGUGAAAUACAACUACUCUUAUAAUUCUUUCACUUACCCAGUGAAGUGGGGGCGAGCCCCGUGGGGCUUUCACUUCUAGCUCCCAGCACCCACCGUGCGCGACCCGCUCCGGGGACAGAGGCAGGUGGGGAGUUUACCUGGGGCGGUACACCUGUCAAACGAUAACGCAGGUGUCCUAAGGUGACAUCAGGGAGGACAGAAACCUCCCGCAGAGCAGUAGGGCAAAAGUUUGCUUGAUCUCGAAUUUUCUGUAUGAAUACAGAUCGUGAAAGCAGGGCGUCACAAUCCUUCCGACUUUGGGUUUCAAGCAGGUGGUGUCAGAAAAGUUACCACAGGGAUAACUGGCUUGAGGCGGCCAAGCGUUCAUAGCAAUGUUGCUUUUUGAUCCUUCGAUGUCGGCUCUUCCUAUCAUUGUGAAGCAGAAUUCACCAAGCGUUUGUUUGGUCACCCACUGUUAGGGAACGUGAGGUGGGUCUAGAACGUUGUGAGACAGGUUAGUUUUACCCUACUGAUGUGUUGUUGCAAUAGUAAUCCUGCUCAGUAGAAAAGGAACCGCAGAUUCAGACAUUUGGUGUAUGUGGUUGGCUGAGGAGCCAAUGGGGCGAAGCUACCAUCGGUGGGAUUAUGACUGAACACCUAAGUCAGAAUUCCCCCCCCCCUAAGCCGUAACAAUACUGCAGCACUGUCGAGCCUCGGAUGGCCUAGGAUAGCCGACCUCUGGGCCGGUGUGUAGAGCUGCACACCUCAGGACUAGAGUGUGGACAGAAGAGGGCACCUCUCUCGCCCGUAGUGUACCACAUGU
rnacentral:rRNA from 1 species